AUUGAACGCUGGCGGCAGGCCUAACACAUGCAAGUCGAGCGAGUGGCGGACGGGUGAGUAAGGCUUGGGACACUGGCUUCUGGAGGGGGAUAACUACGGGAAACUGUAGCUAAUACCGCGUACCAUAGGAUGAGCCCAAAUGGGAUUAGGUAGUUGGUGAGGUAAAGGCUCACCAAGCCGACGACGCAUAGCUGGUCUGAGAGGAUGACCAGCCAAACUGGGACUGAGACACGGCCCAGACUCCUACGGUAGGCAGCAGUGGGGAAUAUUGCGCAAUGGGGGCAACCUGACGCAGCCAUGCCGCGUGAAUGAAGAAGGCCUUCGGGUUGUAAAGUUCUUUCGGUAGCGAGGCGUUAACUACAGAAGAAGAACCGGCUAACUCCGUGCCAGCCGCCGCGGUAAUUC
rnacentral:rRNA from 1 species